AUAGAAGGAGACAUGUCCCAUCCCCUUUUUUCGUACUUCUAUUAUGAUAUAUACACAGAUUUAACGAAAUGGCAAUUUUCAUUCAACAUAUAACUAAAAAUGAUACAUCCUACCGUACAUAUUUGUAUAUCAUACUCGAGUUUCGAAAAAUUAAAGAAACGUCUCGUGUCACAUAAUAUUCAAUAUUAACCAAUACAAUAUUUUUUCCCAGAUUUUAAUUUGUAACCAUCUACUUAAUUAGCAUU